CGUUAAGCUACAAAGGGCGUACGGUGGAUGCCUUGGCGUUGGAAGGCGAUGAAGGACGUGGUAAGCUGCGAAAAGUUUCGGGGAGCCGCAAACAGGCGCUAUUAUCCGAAAAUGUCCGAAUGGGGAAACCCGGCUGGUUGCUGACCAGUCACUCCCAACUGAAUUCAUAGGUUGGGAAGAGCUAACUCGGGGAAGUGAAACAUCUCAGUACCCGAAGGAAGAGAAAUCAAAAGAGAUUCCGCUAGUAGUGGCGAGCGAACGCGGAAGAGCCCAAACCAGAAAGCUUGCUUUCUGGGGUUGUAGGGCGGGAGUCAUGGUAUCGAACAAGCGAGCAGAACAGAUCAGGAAAGGUCUGACCAAAGAGGGUGACAGUCCCGUAUGCGAAGCCGAAGCGAGCCUAUCCCGUUCCUGAGUAGCGCGGGACACGAGAAAUCCCGUGUGAAUCCGGGGAGACCAUUCUCCAAGGCUAAAUACUCUCCAACGACCGAUAGUGAACAAGUACCGUGAGGGAAAGGUGAGAAGAACCCUUUAAAAGGGAGUCCAAAUAGAUCCUGAAACCGUACGUCUACAAGCAGUUGAAGCACUGUUAGCGGGGCUUGCCCUGUUACGUGCGACAGCGUGCCUUUUGCAUAAUGAGCCGGCGAGUUACUUUGUGUAGCCAGGUUAAGCGACUGAGUCGCGGAGCCGCAGCGAAAGCGAGUCCGAAAUGGGCGCCCGAGUUGCACGGAGUAGACCCGAAGCGGGAUGAUCUAGCCAUGGUCAGGAUGAAGGUCGGGUAACACCGACUGAAGGUCCGAACCGGUGUACCUUAAAAAGUGCUCGGAUGAACUGUGGCUGGGGGUGAAAGGCCAAUCAAAUUCCGUGAUAGCUGGUUCUCUCCGAAAUGUUUUUAGGAACAGCCUCAAUUGCUCAGUCACCAAGGUAGAGCACUGGAUGGACUAGGGGGCCUACAAGCUUACCGAACCCAACCAAACUCCGAAUGUGGUGACUCAAGAAAUUGGGAGUGAGUCAGUGGGGGAUAAGCUCCAUUGUCGAGAGGGAAACAACCCAGACCGUCAGCUAAGGUCCCAAAGACUGUGCUAAGUGGAAAACGAUGUGAUUUCUUUUAGACAACCAGGAUGUUGGCUUAGAAGCAGCCAUUCAUUUAAAGAGUGCGUAAUAGCUCACUGGUCAAAAGAAGUUGCGCGGAAAAUGUAACGGGGCUCAAGCACAGCACCGAAGCUACGGGCUUGCGUCGCAAGACGCCAGCGGUAGGAGAGCAUUCUGAUCAGCUGAGAAGGUAGACCGAAAGGACUACUGGAGCGUUCAGAAGAGAGUAUGCCGGCAUUAGUAGCGAUAAAACGGGUGAAAAACCCGUUCGCCGUAAAUCUAAGGUUUCCUGGGCCAGGGUAAUCCUCCCAGGGUGAGUCGGUCCCUAAGGCGAGGCCGAAAGGCGUAGCUGAUGGAAAGCAGGCGAAAAUUCCUGCACCACAACGCGGGUGAUAAAGACACAGAGGAGUGACGCGGAAAGGUAGCUCUAAUUCCUGACGGAUGGAAUGCGAGACCUGUAGGUGGAGAGCUUUGGCAAAUCCGGGCUCUUAUUUAAACACUGAGGGGAAUCGGGAAGUGCGGCUUCGGCCAAACCUACUGAGCGACCCUAUGCCGCCGAGAAAAACUUCGUUCUGUGAAUCCGUGGUGUGACCGUACCGCAAACCGACACAGGUAGAUGAGGAGAGAAUCCUAAGGCGCUCGAAAUAACUCUUGUUAAGGAACUCGGCAAAAUAGCCCCGUAUCUUCGGAAUAAGGGGUGCUCCGCUAGGGUGAUGCUAUUUACUGGCAAAGCCUGAGGGAGUCGCAGUGAAAUGGGUCAAGCGACUGUUUAUCAAAAACACAGGGCUCUGCAAACACGCAAGUGGAUGUAUAGGGUCUGACGCCUGCCCAGUGCCGGAAGGUUAAAGGGCGUGGUUAGCCGCAAGGCGAAGCCAUAAACUGAAGCCCCGGUAAACGGCGGCCGUAACUAUAACGGUCCUAAGGUAGCGAAAUUCCUUGUCGGGUAAGUUCCGACCUGCACGAAUGGCGUAACGACUUGACCGCUGUCACAACAAGAGAUUCGGCGAAGUUGAGAUACCGGUGAAGACGCCGGUUACCCGCAUCAAGACGGAAAGACCCCGUGCACCUUUACUGCACCCUGAUAUUGGAACCCGAAGCAUCGUGUAGAGGAUAGGUGGGAGACUAUGAAGCGGGGGCGCAAGCCCUCGUGGAGUCAACCUUGGAAUACCACCCUCGAUACUUUGAGUUUCUAACCCACUCCCGUGAAACCGGGAGGGAGACAGUGUCAGGCGGGCAGUUUGACUGGGGCGGUCGCCUCCAAAAUUGUAACGGAGGCGUACAAAGGUUCCCUCAGCACGGUCGGCAAUCGUGCGUAGAGCGUAUAGGUAUAAGGGAGCUUGACUGCGAGACUGACGGGUCGAGCAGGUGCGAAAGCAGGUCUAAGUGAUCCGGUGGUUCUGUAUGGAAGGGCCAUCGCUCAUCGGAUAAAAGGUACGCCGGGGAUAACAGGCUUAUCUCCCCCAAGAGUUCAUAUCGACGGGGAGGUUUGGCACCUCGAUGUCGGCUCAUCGCAUCCUGGGGCUGUAUUAGGUCCCAAGGGUUUGGCUGUUCGCCAAUUAAAGCGGUACGUGAGCUGGGUUCAGAACGUCGCGAGACAGUUCGGUCCCUAUCUGAUGUGGGCGUAGGAAUAUUGAGAGGAGUUUUCCCUAGUACGAGAGGACCGGGAAGAACAGACCUCUGGUGACGCAGUUGUGACGCCAGUUGCAUCGCUGCAUAUCCAUGUCUGGAAGUGAUAACCGCUGAAAGCAUCUAAGCGGGAAACACACCUCAAGAUAAGUGUUCCCGGGCCAUAAGGCCCCUAAAGACCCCUGGGAGACCACCAGGUAAUAGGCUGGGAGUGGAAGCGCUGCGAGGCGUGGAGCUGACCAGUACUAAUCGGUCGUGAGGCUUAACAUA
rnacentral:rRNA from 1 species